UACGUAGGGUGCGAGCGUGGUCCGGAAUUAUUGGGCGUAAAGAGCUCGUAGGCGGUCUGUCGCGUCGAUCGUGAAAACUUGGGGCUUAACCCUGAGCUUGCGGUCGAUACGGGCAUGACUGGAGUUCGGCAGGGGAGACUGGAAUUCCUGGUGUAGCGGUGAAAUGCGCAGAUAUCAGGAGGAACACCGGUGGCGAAGGCGGGUCUCUGGGCCGAUACUGACGCUGAGGAGCGAAAGCGUGGGGAGCGAACAGG
rnacentral:rRNA from 1 species